CUGAACGGCAGCACUGCCCCAGGAAGCACCUCCAGUGGUCAUCUGAGGAGUGGCCACUUGGAGGUGUCCCUAGGGGGCAAUGCAAAGAAUGCCUUUUCUAGGAAAAGGCAGUGUUUGCAUGAAAAUGCUUAAAGGAACACUAUAGUCACCUAAAUUACUUAUCUAAAUAAAGCAGCUUUGGUGUAUAGAUCAUUCCCCUGCAAUUUCACUGCUCAAUUCACUGUCAUUUAGGAGUUAAAUCACUUUGUUUCUGUGUAUGCAGCCCUAGCC